UCCCUGGUGUGCUAGUGGCUAGCAUGCAGCGCUCUCACUGCAACAGCCCGGGUUCAUUUCCUGGUCAGGGAA